GAUGAAUAACGCAGCGAAAUGCGAUAAGUAGUGUGAAUUGCAGAAUUCAGUGAAUCAUCGAAUCUUUGAACGCACAUUGCGCCCCUUGGUAUUCCAUGGGGCAUGCCUGUUCGAGCGUCAUUUGUACCCUCAAGCACUGCUUGGUGUUGGGUGUUUGUCCCGCUUUGCGCGUGGACUCGCCUUAAAGCAAUUGGCAGCCGGCAGAUUGGCCUGGAUCGCGAGCACAUUUUGCGACCUUGUCAUAACUGUUUGGCACCCAUCAAGACUAUUUUUUGCUCUUGACCUCGGAUCAGGUAGGGAUACCCGCUGAACUUAAGCAUAUCAAUAAGCGGAGGA
rnacentral:misc_RNA from 1 species